GACGAACGCUGGCGGCGUGCCUAAUACAUGCAAGUAGAACGCACAGUUUAUACCAUAGCUUGCUACACCAUACACUGUGAGUUGCGAACGGGUGAGUAACGCGUAGGUAACCUGCCUGGUAGCGGGGGAUAACUAUUGGAAACGAUAGCUAAUACCGCAUAAUAUUGAUUAUUGCAUGAUAAUUGAUUGAAAGAUGCUAUUGCAUCACUACCAGAUGGACCUGCGUUGUAUUAGCUAGUAGGUGAGGUAACGGCUCACCUAGGCGACGAUACAUAGCCGACCUGAGAGGGUGAUCGGCCACACUGGGACUGAGACACGGCCCAGACUCCUACGGGAGGCAGCAGUAGGGAAUCUUCGGCAAUGGACGAAAGUCUGACCGAGCAACGCCGCGUGAGUGAAGAAGGUUUUCGGAUCGUAAAGCUCUGUUGUAAGAGAAGAACGGGUGUGAGAGUGGAAAGUUCACACUGUGACGGUAUCUGACCAGAAAGGGACGGCUAACUACGUG
rnacentral:rRNA from 1 species